UACGUAGGGACCGAGCGUUGUCCGGAUUCAUUGGGCGUAAAGAGCUCGUAGGCGGCUGUUCAAGUCGAACGUGAAAACUCGGAGCUCAACUCCGAGCCUGCGUUCGAUACUGGACGGCUAGAGUCUGGUAGGGGGAUCUGGAAUUCCUGGUGUAGCGGUGGAAUGCGCAGAUAUCGGGAGGAACACCAGUAGCGAAGGCGACACUCUGGGCCGGUACUGACGCUGAGGAGCGAAAGCGUGGGGAGCAAACAGG
rnacentral:rRNA from 1 species